rnacentral:lncRNA from 1 species
CUUCCAACUUACUCUCUUUCCGCUGUGCUUACAGUCAAAGAUCUGAUCUGUCCGUGGUUAAAGAUGUGAGCUCGCCAUGUCUUCCACUUGUUGCUAUGCCUUCCUGCGAUGAUGGACUCGCAUCCCUCUGGAACGAUGUUUCCAGAGCGGUCUAACCUGGGCAGGAGUGAGCACUUUCCAGCAAGUGGCUGAGUACUAAAAGGUGGCCCAGUCUAAAGAAAAAGCAGUGUUGGCUGCCUGCCUGCCUUCCCUGGGUCUGGAGCCAGUGUGUCCAUCUGCUGCCACUGUCUUCUUUUGACGUCAGACUGAAGUUUCUUCAGCCUUCUCUAACAAGAACGAAACACCAGUGACUCUUCAGGAAUUUUCC